AAUUCACCUAUUCACCAAUAGCGACGCCAUCUUGAAUUUCGCGUUUAACGCAAUGCAUUAUGGGUGAUCCAGGGUAAUUGAGCGUUUUUGAAGGGCUGUAAAUCAAAUAUGUAGGCGAAAACACACGUUUUUAUAGUUGAAAAUAACAGACAAUUUUUAGAAGAACUAGGAAAACACACAAAAGCUGGGAAAAAUAAAAGAAUCAG